rnacentral:rRNA from 1 species
UAUACAUGCAGUCGAGCGGACAGAUGGGAGCUUGCUCCCUGAUGUUAGCGGCGGACGGGUGAGUAACACGUGGGUAACCUGCCUGUAAGACUGGGAUAACUCCGGGAAACCGGGGCUAAUACCGGAUGGUUGUUUGAACCGCAUGGUUCAGACAUAAAAGGUGGCUUCGGCUACCACUUACAGAUGGACCCGCGGCGCAUUAGCUAGUUGGUGAGGUAACGGCUCACCAAGGCAACGAUGCGUAGCCGACCUGAGAGGGUGAUCGGCCACACUGGGACUGAGACACGGCCCAGACUCCUACGGGAGGCAGCAGUAGGGAAUCUUCCGCAAUGGACGAAAGUCUGACGGAGCAACGCCGCGUGAGUGAUGAAGGUUUUCGGAUCGUAAAGCUCUGUUGUUAGGGAAGAACAAGUGCCGUUCAAAUAGGGCGGCACCUUGACGGGGGCCUAACCAGAAAGCCACGGCUAACUACGUGCCAGCAGCCGCGGUAAUACGUAGGUGGCAAGCGUUGUCCGGAAUUAUUGGGCGUAAAGGGCUCGCAGGCGGUUUCUUAAGUCUGAUGUGAAAGCCCCCGGCUCAACCGGGGAGGGUCAUUGGAAACUGGGGAACUUGAGUGCAGAAGAGGAGAGUGGAAUUCCACGUGUAGCGGUGAAAUGCGUAGAGAUGUGGAGGAACACCAGUGGCGAAGGCGACUCUCUGGUCUGUAACUGACGCUGAGGAGCGAAAGCGUGGGGAGCGAACAGGAUUAGAUACCCUGGUAGUCCACGCCGUAAACGAUGAGUGCU